AGCUCCAAUAGCGUAUAUUAAAGUUGUUGCAGUUAAAAAGCUCGUAGUCGAAUUUCAGGGCGGUGCGAUCGGUCUGCCGAUGGGUAUGCACUGACCGCGCCGUUCUUCCUGCUGGAGACCACAUCUGCACUUAACUGGGCGGGUGUGGGAAACAGCGAUUUUACUUUGAGAAAAUCAGAGUGUUUAAAGCAGGCCAAGAUUGCUCUUGCAUGGAUUAGCAUGGGAUAAUGAAAUAGGACUUUGGUGCUAUUUUGUUGGUUUCGA
rnacentral:rRNA from 1 species